GGCCAGACUCCUACGGGAGGCAGCAGUGGGGAAUAUUGGGCAAUGGGCGCAAGCCUGACCCAGCAACGCCGCGUGAAGGAAGAAGGCUUUCGGGUUGUAAACUUCUUUUCUGAGGGACGAUAGUGACGGUACCUCAGGAAUAAGCCACGGCUAACUACGUGCCAGCAGCCGCGGUAAUACGUAGGUGGCAAGCGUUAUCCGGAUUUACUGGGUGUAAAGGGCGUGUAGGCGGGAUGGUAAGUCAGAUGUGAAAACUAUGGGCUCAACCCAUAGCCUGCAUUUGAAACUAUCGUUCUUGAGUGUUGGAGAGGCAGGCGGAAUUCCGUGUGUAGCGGUGAAAUGCGUAGAUAUACGGAGGAACACCAGUGGCGAAGGCAGCAUACCGGCGCCCAACUGACGCUGAAGCACGAAAGCGUGGGUAUCGAACAGGAUUAGAUACCCUAGUA
rnacentral:rRNA from 1 species